rnacentral:rRNA from 1 species
GACGAACGCUGGCGGCGUGCUUAACACAUGCAAGUCGAACGGAAAGGCCCUUCUUUUGUUGGGUGCUCGAUUGGCGAUCGGGUGUGUAACACGUGUGUAACCUGCCCUUGACUUUGGGAUAUCUUCAGGAAACUGGGGCUAAUACCUCAUCGGAUCUCCUGCUGCAUGGUGGGGGUUGGUAAGUUUCGGCGGUUGGGGAUGGACUCGCGGCUUAUCCGCUUGUUUGUGGGGUAGUGGCUUACCAAGGCUUUGACGGGUAUCCGGCCUGAGAGGGUGACCGGCGACAAGGGGACUGAGAGACGGCCCAGAAGGGAACGGGAGGCAGCAGGGGGGAAGAGUGCAAAAUGGGAGGAAGCGAGAGGCAGAAAAGGAGCGAGCGGGAAGAAGGGAGACGGGGAGAAAAAAGAUGUAGAAGAAGAAGAAGAGGGAGUGACGGUAAUGGGUAAAGAAGCAACGGCUAACUACGUG